GUAUCUUUGUAAAGGCGUUGUGCCUGACACGCGAAGAUCUGUGUGCUGUGUGUCGGGCUUAAAAGGGAAUCGAGUGAGAAUCUCGAACAGUCCCGCUGCUGUAUGUGCAUCAUACUGCUCCCUGCCGAGGGCUAUGUCGAAGCCCUGACCACUGGAGGUUCUGUGUCUCUGGGAAGGGUGGCUGGGAGACAAGGUGCGCGAGUCAGAAGACCUGCAACGCUCAUUCAAAAUGC
rnacentral:ncRNA from 2 species